GGUUCGACUGGCCUGUAGAUUGAACGCUGGCGGAUGCUGCAUACGCGUAAGUCGAACGGCAGCACGGACUUCGGUCUGGUGGCGAGGAAGAACGGUGAGUAAUGUAUCGGAACGUGCCUAGUAGCGGGGGAUAUCACAAAGCGUGGAAGCGACACGCGCUACGUUCUUCUGGGGGAAAGUUGGGACCUUCGGGCCUCGCACUAUUAGAGCAAACAUGUCGAGCCAGCCAGUUGGUGGGGUAACGGCUCACCAAGGCGACGAUCCGUAGCUGGUUUGAGGACGACCAGCCACACUGGGACUGGAGACGGCCCGACUUUGGCUGGAAGCAGCAGUGGGAAUUUGGACAAUGGGGGAAACCCUGAUCCAGCCAUCCUUAUGCGGCGAUGAAGGCCUUCGGGUUGUAAGCACUUUGGCAGGAAACGGCACGGAUAGUCACCCGCAACCGGAUGUCGCAGGACAAGCAACCGCUAACUACGCCAGCGUUUUACUGCCGCAGGGUGCAAGCGUUAAUCGGAAUUACUGGGCGUAAAGCGUGCGCAGGCGGUUCGGAAAGAAAAGAUGUGAAAUCCCAGAGCUUAACUUUGGAACUGCAUUUUUAACUACCGGAGCCAGAGCGUCAGAGGGAGGUAAUCCGUGCGUGUAGCAGGAAUGCGUAGAUGCGAGGAACACCGAUGGCGAAGGCAGCCUCCUGGGAUAACACUGACGCUCAUGCACGAAAGCGUGGGGAGCAAACAGGAUUAGAUACCCUGGUAGUCCACGCCCUAAACGAUGUCAACUAGCUGUUGGGGCCUUCGGCCUGGUAGCGCAGCUAACGCGUGAAGUUGACCGCCUGGGGAGUACGGUCGCAAGAUUAAAAACUCAAAGGAAUUGACGGGGACCCGCACAAGCGGUGGAUGAUGUGGAUUUAUCUGACACCGCGAAAAACCUUACCCGCCCUUGACAUAUUCGGAACUCGAAGAGAUUUUGGGAGUGCUCUUGCAGCAGAACCCGGAACACAGGUGUUACGGCUGUCGUCAGUCAGGGCUGUGACAGCAAGUCCCGCAACGAGCGCAACCCUUGUCAUUAGUUGCUACGAAAGCGCACCUCCCCAUCGAGAUCGCCGGUGACAAACUGGAGGAAGGUGGGGAUGACGUCAAGUCCAUGGCUCCUAUGGGUAGGGUCAUUGUCGUCAUAAACGGUCGGGACAGGGUCGCCAACCUGGCGAGGGGGAGCCAACUGGCAGAAACCCGAUCGUAGUCCGGAUCGCAGUCUGCAACUCGACUGCGUGAAGUCGGAAUCGCUAGUAAUCGCGAAUCAGCAUGUCGCGGUGAAUACGUUCCCGGGUCUUGUACACACCGCCCGUCACACCAUGGGAGUGGGUUUUACCAGAAGUAGUUAGCCUAACCGUAAGGAGGGCGAUUACCACGGUAGGAUUCAUGACUGGGGUGAAGUCGUAACAAGGUAGCUCUAGCCAUUACCUGAUG
rnacentral:rRNA from 1 species